GUCAGGCCAUGGUACUCCAACUAGAUCCUAGACAACUACCAGCACAACACCGAGCAUGUAGUACUUUAGAUAAACCUGAUAAUGUGCUACUGCUAACAAUACAAACAUUUAGUAACGGUCAAAUGAUGAUGGCCGCCCACCACGGCUAGGGCGAUCAUAAGGAGCAGGUCUGUUUCUAUAGCUUCUUCCCUCAUCGCGUGCUGGACCGCCGCUUCCAU
rnacentral:misc_RNA from 1 species